UAACCCCAGCGCCACAAGUGGCAAUCGAUUUUAUUGGGUCUAAAGCGUCCGUAGUCGGUUUGAUCAAUCUCUUGUGAAAGCGUAAGGCUUAACCUUACGAACUGCAGGAGAUAUUGUCAAACUAGGGACCGGGAGGAGUUAGGAGUAUUUCUGAGGGAGCGGUAAAAUGUUAUAAUCUCAGACAGACUACCUGUGGCGAAGGCGCCUAACUAGAACGGAUCCGACGAUGAGGGACGAAGGCCAGGGGAGCGAACCGGAUUAGAUACCCGAGUAGUCCUGGCAGUAAACGCUGUGUGCUAGGUGUUGUACAUUCUUAAAGGAUGUGCAGUAUCGAAGCGAAGGCGAUAAGCACACCACCUGGGAAGUACGGUCGCAAGACUG
rnacentral:rRNA from 1 species